rnacentral:lncRNA from 1 species
CUGAUGAAACUCCUUCAUUUAAUGAUCCUGCCAAGUCAACAAUUUUGCUUAUGUGGCACCCUAUUUAAUGUGCAUGACACUCCCAUGAAACAUGUAUUGAGACUGGCCUUAGCUAACCGCCUACCAUAGAGAGGGAUCGGACCAUCAUGGUGACAAAAAUGCUACUCCUUUGCCCGCUAAUUGCAAGUCUUUGCAACCAGUUGCGGUCCAACAAAAUCUUUUAGGCAAAUUUCAAUGGAGAUUUCAUGGAGUUCCAAUGCCAUUAGAUAUGGGGACAUGGUACUAUGUUAAUAAAGAGAGACAUAAUGAAAGUUCUAUAGUAAUAGAGAGAGUUUUAUGGAGAUAAAACUUUUUUGUACUAUUUCUAAAAUAUGGGUGCGUUAGAAUUGGGAGAUGAAACCUCUGAUUGGCCUUAGCAUCCAUCGAUGCACCAUUAGAUCUCCUCUUGUCCUCGCUAAUCGAAUUGGGUGUUGGGUUCUUUUCCUCAACACAUCAGUAUGUUGACAUUUAUAUUUAUAUCUAUAUCAUAUCAAAGAGGUAAAAUUUCACUUCAACUAUUUUUUUCCAUCCACCUCUUCCUAAUAACUACCUAUGUGGAUGGAAGAUGGAAGUCAGAUAGGUAGUUUCCUCUUAAUUUUCCACCUGCAUGCAGUCCACUAAUCCAUGGUGGUUGCGACUCUUCUUUUGUUUUCCUUUUUUGCAAGGAAACUGUUUCCCAGGACUCCAUGGUGGUUUUCAAUUCUUUUUUGUUUUUGGAUUAUUUUCUCAACAACACAGUUUGUGAUUUCUGUUUUGUCUUUUGUUUUCUUGUUUUUUUCCACUGCCGAGUUUUGUUUUCCUAUAUGAGAUCACAUUUGCAAUUCAACAGGAUACCACUUUUUCCAAAUCCAACAUGUGAUCACAUUUGCAAUCCAAAACUAGCAUAAUCCAAUCCAAAUUCAAUAUGAUAUCACUUUUCAAGCAGCACAUGUGUAGGCCAUGGUAUGGAGUUCAACUUUGAGAUGUACCUGAUGGUGAGGACAUCAUCGACUCAGAUAUGACCAUGUUAACCACUUCUAAACCAAAGUUGCAAUCAUUCUAUAUGAGGCUUAUUAUUGAUAUAGAUUUGAGUGAUUUGGUGCUACACAAUUAAGUGUGUAUAUUUUCAUUUUUAGAAUUACUUACAU